rnacentral:rRNA from 1 species
GAUAAACGCUGGCGGCGCACAUAAGACAUGCAAGUCGAACGGAAGUCGUUAUAAAAAGGAUUGAAGAUUUAUCUGAUUGAGAUUUUAUAACAAUGGCUUUAGUGGCGGACUGGUGAGUAACGCGUGAGCAACCUGCCUACUAGAGGGGAAUAACAGUGAGAAAUCAUUGCUAAUACCGCAUAUGCCAUGAACAUCACAUGAUGAAAAUGGGAAAAGAGUAAUCUGCUAGUAGAUGGGCUCGCGUCUGAUUAGAUAGUUGGUGGGGUAACGGCCUACCAAGUCAACGAUCAGUAGCCGGACUGAGAGGUUGAACGGCCACAUUGGGACUGAGAUACGGCCCAGACUCCUACGGGAGGCAGCAGUCGGGAAUAUUGCGCAAUGGAGGAAACUCUGACGCAGUGACGCCGCGUAUAGGAAGAAGGUUUUCGGAUUGUAAACUAUUGUCGUUAGGGAAGAUACAAGACAGUACCUAAGGAGGAAGCUC